rnacentral:ncRNA from 1 species
UAAGGCUUAUAUAUUAUAUAUUUAUUUUUAAAUUUUGUGUACUAAAAAGUUUGAUUCCUGCUUUAAUUUUUUUUAGUUUUUUAUUUUAUAUAUAGUAAGUUUUUUAAUAAAAUUUUUGUAGUAAAUAAAAUUAUUUGUAAAGUAAAAUUUGAUGUAGUAAAGAAAUGUAGUUCUAAGAUAAAUUGUGCCAGCACUUGCGGUUAUACAAUUGGAGCAAAAAAAAAGGGUUGGUAAAAAGAAAUCAAUUUGGUGAAUAUUAAUUAUUUAAAUUUGUUUAAAUGAAAGGUAAAAUUAUAUUUAAUUUUAUUUAAGUAAUUAAAAUUUAUAAAUGAAGGUUUUAAAAAUAAUGUAAUAAACCUGGAUUAGAUACCCAGUUAUUUUUAUUGUAGAAAGUUUACCUGAUUAGUAUAAGUGAUCUGGAAAUUUAAGGGAUUUGGCGGUAUUUUAUUCUAAUUAGAGGAACUUGUCCUGUUAUAGAUAAUACACUAUUAUAGUACUUUUUUUUGUUAAACAGCUUGUAUAUCGCUGUCGUCAGAAAACUUUUAUUGAUAGGGGUUUUCUACUUGUAUUAGCUACAAGACGUCAAGUCAAGGUGCAGCACAUGGAAAAGAAUGAAUGAUGAGUUACAAUAAAAAUAUUUAUUUAUGGAUUUUAAGUUGAAAUUUUAAAUGAAGGUGGAUUUAUUAGUAAAUUCUCAUAAUUUAGGGGAAUUGAUUUUAGCUCUAGAAUAUGUACACAUCGCCCGUCGCUCUCAUCAAUUAGUUGAGAUAAGUCGUAACAUAGUAGGUGUAUUGGAAAAUGCCCCUAGUUUAGU